rnacentral:tRNA from 3 species
GGAAUUUUAGGAGGUGACAAAGUAGUCUCGAAAACUACUUUGGGGAAACCCAACGAGGGUUCGAAUCCCUCCCUCUCCG